ACGAACGCUGGCGGCGUGCUUAACACAUGCCAGUCGCGCGGAAAGGCCCUUCGGGGUACUCGAGCGGCGAACGGGUGAGUAACACGUGAGUAACCUGCCCCAGACUUUGGGAUAACCCUCGGAAACGGGGGCUAAUACCGGAUACGACACAGCUUCGCAUGGGGUCUGUGUGGAAAGUUUUUCGGUUUGGGAUGGGCUCGCGGCCUAUCAGCUUGUUGGUGGGGUGAUGGCCUACCAAGGCGACGACGGGUAGCCGGCCUGAGAGGGCGACCGGCCACACUGGGACUGAGACACGGCCCAGACUCCUACGGGAGGCAGCAGUGGGGAAUAUUGCACAAUGGGCGGAAGCCUGAUGCAGCGACGCCGCGUGAGGGAUGACGGCCUUCGGGUUGUAAACCUCUUUCAGCAGGGACGAAGCGUAAGUGACGGUACCUGCAGAAGAAGCGCCGGCCAACUACGUG
rnacentral:rRNA from 1 species